AAACCAACUGAAAUUUAUAGCAGCCAUCCAGAUGUGUUCUCCCCCUCCCCCAAAAUUAAUGGAAGACAGGUUUUGGUUAAAGCCGAAAUAAAAGGAAACGUUAUUUCAUCCAACUAGAACAGGAUUCAUAUUUUCAAGAUGAAUCCCAUCACAACGGGGCCAGAGGAAAAAAAACAGAUCUACAAUGGAACCACAAAAUGGUGAAGCAAUUUUUCAUAAUGCCUGGAAGACUAGCAGGCUUUACAUCAGGAAAUUAAGAGAUGCCGCGCUGGUUCAACAUACUAAUAUACCAUGAAAACAAGGAUAUUCUCUCCAUUUGUAGAGAAUGAACGCACCUUGGGAUGUCGAGGCUACAGCAGGCAAGAUAAUUCUAAAAUUACCUCUGACCCCAGCCCAUCAUCUUCCCCUGAAGAGCAAGGUAAAGAUUCAGAAAUCAGAACACCCAUCCCUGAAGCAAAUAUACUGUGAAGAAUCUAAACUCUUGAGUAGUCACAUGGUUUAAAGUACAGAAGCACCUGGUCACCAAGCUUCAGGUUCUGCAGCAUCAGCUGUUGCCUUCAUAGUCUGACAACACCCACUGUCCACAGUAACCAAAGAACGGUCAGUUCAUUGAACUUCACAAAAGGUAAAGAGCUAUACAAUGAGCUUUCAGGAGAAUUGUUUACAUGGAUUUAUUUUGACUUUAAAAAGAAAAAUCAGAUGAAAAGGAGUUGAAAGAUUCUAUAAAAGGAAUUAAGCAAAAAGCUCCAAAUAUCUUCCCUAUCAAGGUCAAUACUGUGUAGAGCUGGAAGAACACAACAGGACAGAGGAACAGGAAAGUCGACGUUUUAGGUCAAGACCCUUCAUCUCUAUGAAGAUAUUUAAAGACUGCAGAUCAUUAAGAUCCUUGGGCACCAAAAGGAUGGGGGAAGGAAGAGAAAUGUGAAAGAGAUAGAUAAUCAGUUGUGACCUCAUUAAAGAAGCAGCCACAUAGCUUAUUUAAAUUCCUAUUUCUUACGAGUGUCAAAUACAGACAAAAAGUCAUGAGCAAAAUUUAACAAAAGACUAAUCUUGGUCAAUAGUUCCUCUUUGGCCUUGACAAAAUGUGUAUUAAAAUAUUCCUACAAUGUAGUUAAAAGUAAAUUCAACCAAAUUUAUUUUAGAAUGUUACAAAGUAUAAACAAGUAGCUAUAAUUACUCGAAGAUCAUAGUACUUAGUAAAAAGAACUUCUUACACAGGCAGGGAGUGUUAAGUACGGAAAAGUAAUUUCAACAACUGCCAAUAUUAGCAAUUUUAAAUUAGAAUACGACUGUCAAAAAAUGUAAACAGUUGGGUGAAGGAGGACUACGAUGGUUUAGUUCACUAAACAUACACACACGAAAAAUCAAAACUUUAACAGGUACUUUGACUCAACGGUCUCUCCCUCUCAAAAAAGGAGACAUUGAAUAGAUUGACAACUGAAACUUAACAACAUGGGAAAGGGCACGUGUGAAAAUGCAGCUUCACAUUCAAUAUAAACAGACAACCAAUCAGUCAAGUUCAUAUUAAAAAGCGGGUAUUACAUAUACUACUUUACUUUUUGCUGAGUUCAUCCAGCUCCGCUUUGCUCUUGCCCAGUUCGAUCUGCAGCUUCGCCUUUUCCCUAGCUGUCUCGUCAAGCAAUCUCCGAGUGUCGGCCAACUCCGUCUCAUACAUGGCCUUGAUGCCGGUCAGUUCACGGGUCGUCACCUCUUCCUUUUCGGAGAUCUUAAGUUGCAGAACGCUAUUCUCGCACUCCAAGGAGCGUACCUUGUCGAUGUAAACGGCCAGGCGGUCAUUGAGAUUCUUCAGCUCUUCUUUCUCCUGGAUUCGAGUGAUCCGAGUCGGGCUCAGAGGCGUUUGGGCCCCGCUGGCCCGGGUCUGUUUCUGAGCCGGAGUAGUUGACAUGGUUAAAACGCCUUGGUAUUUACCCGAUUAAUUAAAAAAAUACACUUUUACUGUUUCGUAAAAACCCGUGCUGCUAAACCCCUUUUAUUCAAUGAACUAGAAAAUGGCGCCGUUAUCAUGCGGCGCUCCUCCAGGGGUAUAGAUGACGGAAGGAAGUAGAUGCGCUGCAGGCCGGGAAUUGUAGUCCGAUUAAGCCGCCCUGUUUGACUCUUUGUCCGGAUGUUGAUGACUGGCUUCCAGAGCGACGCGUGAUGUUGCCUUGCUUCGUCUAAACCCACGAAUGUUCGUUGAUUGUCAGUUUUGCAUUUUCUGGACCCAGGAUUGAAGCCGGGUGGACUACAAAUCCCAGUGUGCCAUACACAAAGUCCAGAACCAGACUGGUACUCGCCCCCAGCAACGAUUGGCUCGUCUGCAGACAGUUAAUUGUCAAUCAUUUGUGCUGGCGCCCACCUCCACGGCCGUCCGCGCCCCAACGGAAAGCGCGGUUUUCAAAUUUUGGCGCGCGUCGACAAACCGCAACAGAUAUGAAGGAAUUGUCUCGGGAUUUAAGUGUAAUUUGAGAGAGGGGUGAGGUCAUUAUCUGAUCAAACGACUAAUCUUUUUUGAAAAACUAAACAUUAAGAAUCGCCAGCUUCAAUAUAUUGUAUUUCCCCUUUUUACUUAAAUAAUGAAGUAAUCCUCGUUGCCAAACAGCCCCUCUUUAAUAUAAUCCAGAGGCUGAAAUAGAAGGUUUUUAAAAUUUUCUUCUACAGGAAAUAUUCAAUUCGCCACCGAUUAGUUAUUUUCAGCUCACUCACUCACGUUCAGCUCCGUGAUAUGUAACGUAUCGCCUUUCGCAAAAUGUUGUUUUUUGUUUUGAUUAGCGUGCUAUGUACUGUAUACUGCCCACUAUAGCCUAUACAAUUAUAUUUGUUAGACACGAAGACAAAAGUAAAAUUAACCUGAGCCUGAGUUUCCAUAAUUGAAUUGCUCACACCUAAUAUACCUGUCUAAAUUAUCAAUUGGUUAAUGUAUUUGAUUUUUUAAAAUCUUAUUAAUAUGGAACAGAAAAACACUGAGAUAAUAAAAUAUGAGGCUGGAUGAACACAGCAGGCCCAGCAGCAUCUCAGGAGCACAAAAGCUGACGUUUCGGGCCUAGACCCUUCGUCAGAGAGGGGGAUGGGGAGAGGGAACUGGAAUAAAUAGGGAGAGAGGGGGAGGCGGACCGAAGAUGGAGAGAAAAGAAGAUAGGUGGAGAGAGUAUAGGUGGGGAGGGGAUAGGUCAGUCCUGGGAAG